GGCGGCGUACCCAAGUGGCUAAGGGGAAGGUCUGCAAAACCUUUAUUCGUGAGUUCGAUUCUCACCGCCGCCU
rnacentral:tRNA from 1 species